rnacentral:lncRNA from 1 species
CUGUAAAUAUGCUGCUUCAUUUACUUCACUUGUUAUUCAUUAUUACUUCACUUGAAAAAGUUUAAAUUAGAAGAAAAAUUGAUAUACAAAAAGUUGGCAUCCUCUUUAAAUAUAGGUAUAGAUGAUUUUGUCAAAAUUCUAAAUCAACUAGAUGCCCUCAAACUCAAAGCACAACAAGUGCAAGACAUAGAACAUAAUAAUGUAUGCUAUUAUUCUACACGAAAUUUUCUUCUUACAAUGAAUAGAGAGAAACACAAAACUAUCCUAUAAGACUAAAUACGAAAUUGAUAAUGUAUAUGCUUAUAAUCAUAAGCCGGCUCAAUUAUUUAUCAGUCAGCGCCACCAAGAUCUCCCCAUCUUACAUUGUGCUUUGCAGCAAGGUAGUAUGCUCCAACCGGUCCUCUGCUACCAUAAGGAUAAAGCUCUGGAGCAAUCUUCUUGUUUUCAAUUUCUUUUAGCA